rnacentral:rRNA from 1 species
UACGUAGGGGGCGAGCGUUGUCCGGAUUUAUUGGGCGUAAAGAGCGUGUAGGCGGCCAGGUAGGUCUGCUGUGAAAACUCGAGGCUCAACCUCGGGACGUCGGCGGAAACCAUCUGGCUAGAGUCCGGAAGAGGAGAGUGGAAUUCCUGGUGUAGCGGUGAAAUGCGCAGAUAUCAGGAAGAACACCCGUGGCGAAGGCGGCUCACUGGACCACAACUGACGCUGAGGCGCGAAAGCUAGGGGAGCAAACAGG